UACAGAGGGUGCGAGCGUUAAUCGGAAUUACUGGACGUAAAGCGCACGUAGGCGGCUUGGUAUGUCGGGUGUGAAAUCCCCGGGCUCAACCUGGGAACUGCAUCCGAAACUGCCUUGCUAGAGUAUGGGAGAGGGAAGUGGAAUUUCCGGUGUAGCGGUGAAAUGCGUAGAUAUCGGAAGGAACAUCAGUGGCGAAGGCGACUUCCUGGACCAAUACUGACGCUCAGGUGCGAAAGCGUGGGGAGCAAACAGG
rnacentral:rRNA from 1 species